CGGCAUUGCGCUGGCGGCCGAAGGGGUGCUUGUGGAAGCAGGUGGAAUAGUCGGCAGCUGUGGGGAUUCGUUAUUCUCCGAGGUUGGCGGGCUCGACGCCAGGCUCGAUGGGGCUGCGGGAUUGUCAAGCAGGCGGGUGAUUGCUCAACGAUGACUGGAGACGAUCUUCGGUAUUACAACUGCUUUAUACCAAUGGGUUAUUUGCAUCUCAAGUUAAAUUAGUCACUGUUGAUCAACAAUGAGAUGUGGCCAUUGUUUGAUGGAUCAUUGAUGAUACGGAUGUGCAAUGAAACUAUGAUAUACCCACUGUAUUGGACCCGAACACCUUCCUGAAAAUUGUUCUGAAGGGGUUAGCACAAGGAAACUAUUGUUAUGACUUGCGAGGUCUGCUGGAGGUGACCGGAUCCGGAUGACUUGAGCAAAGCUGUGAAAAUUCACGGCAAGGGAUGGGGGUACAAGGCAUGGGUCUGCGGCGCCACACCUUGCUGUUGCCUGCCGGUGGCCAGCGAGCUGUGGCGGUGCUUCUCUGUUGCAUGGCGAGGGACUGGGGUGCAAGGCGUGCAUCUGCAGUGCCACUCCUGGGGCAUGCCUCUCCCGCGACAUUGCCGGCAUACACAACAUACCUUACUACACGGGGAUUUCCUCUCUGAACUAAAUAUUAUGUCAGAACUGAAUAUUACGUCCGAAGACUGAAACAUCCAGAAAGCUUAUUGAGACUAUUCAUUGAUGGUGUUUCUCUACUACACGAGGAAGUUUCAUGUGCCAAUUAGGCAUGGACGACGACGGCCAUGAUCCCAUCAUCGCAAGCUCACGGGAGGGAGACACACGUCUCAUCCAGUGCAAUAGCACGCUCCAAAAAAUCCCUAACCCUCCAUGGAGCCAUUGCCAGGGUGAUGAGAUCAACACCACCCAUGACCACCACCGAGCUGUAGACGGCGUGUCAUGGUGCUCCCUAGCUCUUCCCGCCUCUUAAGAGACCACAUGGCAUUCUGGCAGUUCUGGUGCAGUUUUUGGCCAAGGCUGGAAGCCAAGAACACUUCUUAAUUUUGAUCAUGGACGUGACAUUGUGGUCGGUGUUGUGUGGUGCAGUUCAGAGUUUUCUUGCCUGGCGUAUAACAAUGCAUGUUCAAUGGGGUAGCCUCUUCUCAGGCACGAGUAUCCGAGGCAGACCACGACAUCUAUUUAGAAUAGCUACAACAAAAUUGUGACAGAGAUGGUUAGUGGGAGAAGGAACUUGAGACCACAGUCAAUUCUGCUGUAGGGACUGUGUGUAGAAGAUAGUAGUAGCAAACAUAGAAGUCACUUUGGAAAAAAAGUGUGCAUAUAUUGUUGUACUAGAGAUCCAUUCCUAUAUUUAACUGAUAUGCAUGGUUGAAUUGUAGUAUGUGUGAUACGUGAGAAUAAUGUAAUAUGAAGCGAAAUGUGGUGGACAGGGCUUCACAUUGUUGUUUUUCAGCAGAAUAUGAUGUUCGUCUCUUUUU